rnacentral:rRNA from 1 species
AUUGAACGCUGGCGGCAGGCCUAACACAUGCCAGUCGAGCGGAUGAAGGGAGCUUGCUCCUGGAUUCAGCGGCGGACGGGUGAGUAAUGCCUAGGAAUCUGCCUGGUAGUUGGGGAUAACGUCCGGAAACGGGCGCUAAUACCGCAUACGUCCUGAGGGAGAAAGUGGGGGAUCUUCGGACCUCACGCUAUCAGAUGAGCCUAGGUCGGAUUAGCUAGUUGGUGGGGUAAAGGCCUACCAAGGCGACGAUCCGUAACUGGUCUGAGAGGAUGAUCAGUCACACUGGAACUGAGACACGGUCCAGACUCCUACGGGAGGCAGCAGUGGGGAAUAUUGGACAAUGGGCGAAAGCCUGAUCCAGCCAUGCCGCGUGUGUGAAGAAGGUCUUCGGAUUGUAAAGCACUUUAAGUUGGGAGGAAGGGCAGUAAGUUAAUACCUUGCUGUUUUGACGUUACCAACAGAAUAAGCACCGGCUAACUUCGUG